rnacentral:tRNA from 1 species
GGAGGGGUGGCAGAGUGGUUGAACGCGCCGCACUCGAAAUGCGGUUUAGGCUAAACCCUAACGUGGGUUCGAAUCCCACCCCCUCCGCCA